rnacentral:rRNA from 1 species
GAUUGUGGCCAAACCUUGUCGAAGCCUGAUCUGGUCAGAUCUCUGAAGCUAAGCAGGGUGGGGCCUGGUUAAUACAUGGAUGGGAGACUGUUGGGUUAAAAAAAACCCACACACA